UCAGGAAAUCGCAUGCGAGAGCCUAUUCAAAUACAUUAGUUUCCUCUCGCAUCGAUCGCACGCAUCUCUCGCACUACCCGCAUCAGGAAAUCGUAUCUCCCUGACAGUCUUCCCGCGUCGUCCUGACGCCUCGCUCGCAUCGCCCGCAUCACCCGCAAGCAUCGCCCGCACCUCUCGCUCGCAUCGCCCGCAGCGACAUCUUUUCGGGAUGCGAGAGAGUUGAAGUUCAGUCAACUUUUCCGUGCGGGCGAUGCGAUUUUGCAGAGGGCAGCACGUCCGCCAUCUUGGAAUGUAAACAAACUUGACCUUGGCAAUUUAUAUUGGUGGAUGCGAUUGAUGCUAGUGCGUAUUUUCCAUGUCUUAGGGUCUAAUUAGCACUUAAUUGGGCAUAGGUUAAUGCUAUUUUCUAAAGACAUUCGUAAUUCUAUAAAUUUAGCCGUUAUUCGUGCGUCAACAUCUGCAAAAUGAUUGAAAGAAGAUCUGCCUGACGGAAUCAAGUACCAGCUACCUACCUCCUCAACCUAGCCAAAAGUAGCACGUUCCAGCACUCGGAUCAGCCCACAACCGCUGUCCACAAUAGCCCGACUGUCACCACACCGCCAGUUCCGGACGAGUCGGUGCACGGUGGUGACUGCCCAGUGCCCACGACCCACGUUACUCAGGGACUAACGAGUAUGGGAAGCAUCCUGGAAUCGGAGGGAGGGGCAGUAUUCCGCUGGCGAUGCUUCUGCGACUGACCCCACGGGGAACGACCAGACUACCAUGACAACCGUCAACGCAGACAACGCGAACAUCACUACUAGACGCACCUCCUUCAUCCAAGCAAACAUCACCAGUCUAGCAGCAGCCGUUAACCCGCGCCUAGCCGGUGCUCGGCGCCAACCGCGCCGUGCCCGGGGAUCUGUGGACACCCACCCCUUCUAGCUCGGCUCUUGGGUAGCAUAGGGAAAUGUGGUUAAAGGCUUUCAAAGGAGCGUCCAAAACCAAGACGAUAAUAUAUCGGUCAUUUUUUAAAGUCAAGUCGAAGUUCAGGUCACCAGAGGUUAUCAAAGGUAAAAUGUUGCAUAUUUCGAUAUUUUCGAAACACCGGUGCAAAACUUGGGAACCAAGAGAACUUCAGCGCAACGGAAAAGCGCAUUCGAUCAUAGCCAUUUUGACAUUGUUUUGUGAUAAGCUCUCAAAUUUGACGCAGGAUGAAGGAUUUAGAUCAUAGAGGACAAAUCUUGACUUAGCCGUUUUAAGGAAAACCCCUUUUCUGUAACCUCUCCUGACUCGAUAAAAUUUGUAAUGACAGCAUCGCACUCCUCUCGUCGAGACGCGUCGAAUCAACUGUAAUUUGACCUCAGGUAAAGGUCAUAACCAUAACCGGAAGAGGUCAUCAUCUGACUAAUACCUGACAGCUCAUGACCUUGAACUGAGGCCAACUUUUCAAAAUGACACUUCUCGUCGAGAGGAAUCGAGUUAAAAAUGUUUAAAGCUAUUUUAGGAGUUCUGGCCUCUGUAGGCUAAGCUAAUGAUCGGAAUUUGACCUUGGUCAUUACCGCAUACCGGAGCAAGCGCUGAAAGGGCUAUCAAAUAGGCAGUGCGCUUUUCCAUCGUGCUGUAGCUCUAUUGGUUUCCGAGUGAUGCGUUGUUUUCUAAUGUUGAAAUAGGCAACAUUUUAUCUUUGAUGACCUCUCGUGACCCCGUUUGAUCUAUUUAACCUAAAAAAUGGCUGCAAUGACUUCGUCAUGAUUUUUGACGUUAUUUGGAUUGCCACUUACCGCUUCGUGGGCCAGGAAUCAAGUAAGACGUUAGACGGGUCAUGUUCGGUCCCCCAGGGCCCGGCGCUAUUGGUGCCGAGCAGCGGCCCGGCGCAAGAUGUCAGAUCUUGUUAGAACAAUGCGGUUGAAUUUGGACUACAAUAAACCGACACAUUGUACGAUAUA